AUGCAGUUCUACUCCACAGCUCACUUCUACCCAGAUGGAAGGAUUGUCUGGAUGUCUGAAGGUACGAGGUACCAGUCAAUAGUUGCAGAAUGGGCUAAGUUGAUCAAUGCCCCAAAAGAGAGUGAAGAUGACUUGGUUGUCUAUGCCACCAAGAAGAAGUAUCACAACACCAUGGCACACAUGUACAAGGAGAUCCCAGAUGCUGCUCUUGAGACACACAAGUUUGGAUCUGUACAUUACCUUCUGUCAGGCUUGCCAACUAUCAAUUGGAUCCUCAGGCACACUCUCUUGCCAAAGUCAGGUGAUCACAAGAUGAUCAGAGGCCAUGCAAUAAACUUGCUUCACAUCUUUGAUGUCCCACAAAUGUUCAAAGUCAUGAGCCUCAUAGUGGAAACCAUAAAGAGGACAGCUGCAGAUCAGAAGAGGAGUUGUGGGUAUGCCCCACAGAUCCAGGAGCUGAUUAACUCCAAGAUGGGCACUGGCACAUAUCUGCUGGACAAGGAGCACCUUCCCAUCUACCCAGAAUUUGAGGACAACACUGUGGUGAUGGAUGAAAAUGAACCAUCUUUUGUGCACGCACAAGCCAAGAAGGAGAAGGCAAAGGCUGAAAAGGCUGAAAAGGCUGCAAGGAUGCCAAUUACUGAAGAAGCAUCUCAGUAUCUUCUGAAGAGCAAGCAAGAUCAGCUUGGCUACUUGAUUGCCUCCACUCUGAGGAUUGAGAAGGGACUGGCCACCCUGACUCAAAACCAGGAGAGCUUGCAGAGGAUCAUGGAGCAAAAGUUCUAUGACUUGGAUGUGAAGGUAACUGAGAUCCAGUCUAUUGUGGAGCAACUUCAGGAUGAUAUGCAGGAGAGGAAGGGCAAGACAACCACUGAUGCAUUUGCCAGAGUGCCUAGAGCUCAGAGGUCUGCUGCAGUGCCUGUUCCAGACACCAGAGCCACUUCAUCUGCACCAGCUACAGCUUCAGUGCCACCAGCUCCAGCACCUACUCCAUCAGCUCCAUCUACAUCGACUGAAGCCUUCGCUCUUGGAGUUAUCCGGACACCACCACCUGAAGACCAAGCCUGA
rnacentral:rRNA from 1 species